AUUAGAUUGAAUGCCCAUAAUUUAGUCAAGACUUGGGAUAAAUAAUUUGAAGAUGUGCUUGUACUUAGGGGAGGAUUGUUAUGAAUUCAGCACCUGCAUUUGUUAUAAACUAUAAAGUCUGAUUAUAGCAAUAAUAGUGGUUCAUAAUGUUAUGGUUCAUCUUUGGCAUAGUUGAGUUCAUUUGUCUUGCAAUGGUAGAAGGAAGUGUAGGAUUACUUAAUUUGGUUAGAUCUUUCUGUGUUAUCAGUGCAAUGUUAAUUAAUAAUCCAUGAUGAUAAUUUUGCUCUUUCUUAUAUGCAAGGAGUAUACCUGUUGAGUUGUAAUAUUUCUGUUUAUUUGUUAAUGUGUUUGAGUUCAUUUUAUUUGAAUUCAUGAAUUCUAGCAGGGAGUCACUGGCGAA
rnacentral:misc_RNA from 1 species